AUGUAAAAUGACUCUCGGCAACGGAUAUCUCGGCUCUUGCAUCUAUGAAGAACGUAGCGAAAUGCGAUACUUGGUGUGAAUUGCAGAAUCCCGUGAACCAUCGAGUCUUUGAACGCAAGUUGCGCCCAAAGCCAUUAAGCUGAGGGCACGCCUGCCUGGGUGUCACAC
rnacentral:rRNA from 1 species